UACAGAGGGUGCAAGCGUUAAUCGGAAUUACUGGGCGUAAAGCGCGCGUAGGCGGUUCGAUAAGUCGGGUGUGAAAGCCCCGGGCUCAACCUGGGAAUUGCAUUCGAUACUGUCGAGCUAGAGUAUGGUAGAGGAAAGCGGAAUUCCACAUGUAGCGGUGAAAUGCGUAGAUAUGUGGAGGAACAUCAGUGGCGAAGGCGGCUUUCUGGACCAAUACUGACGCUGAGGCGCGAAAGCGUGGGGAGCAAACAGG
rnacentral:rRNA from 2 species